rnacentral:lncRNA from 1 species
UGCUAGUGUCCUUGACAAGGGAGCCCUUCCUCACUACCCUAAUCUUCCCUGUGGGGUUGGGGCUGGGGAACGAGGUGGACAGUGUUGCAGCCACAUUCCCCAAAGCAGAGGCUGCUGGGUAGGGGAAUCUAAACGUCUGUCUGCCUGUCUGUCUGCCUGUCUGCCUGCCUGUCUGUCUGUCUGUCUGUCUGUGUAGAUCAUGAACCUUUAAUUCUGGGAUGGAAGGUGACUUGCCCAAGGUAACCCAGGGAGGAAAGGAAAUGAGGUCCGGGGCAAGAUGAAGAGAGAAGCUCCACGGGGAGGACCAAGCCGAUUUGAGACAUGCGGAAUGGAAGUGGGGCAGCCAGCAGGGCACCGAGGGCCGGUAGUUUGGGCUCCGAGCGCACCCUGGUGGCCGCUGCUGAGAUUGCACCUGGCUUCCCCCUUGCUCUGGGAAUGCGCGUGGCUCCGCGGGAGGGCGCACCUCCACCCCGCCCGUCAGCUACCCAGAAGGGAAAGGAGUCUGGAAAUCGGGGACCACAGCGGCAGCUCUGUCGGCCCGAGGGAGGCAGCGAGGAGCCGCCGCACAUCAAAGCCAACAUCAAACCCUCCGCCACAGCGCUGCGCCCUCCUCAGCUUCCCUCGGCUCUCCGACAGGGCAGGAAAAGGCGAACCAGCCAGUUCGACGAAGGGCCCCGAGCAAAGCCAAGACAGCCAAUGCUGGGAGGAGCCGCGCACUGAGACAUUUGUGCUGGGGUUUCCCACUGCUGCAGACAUGGUGGAGAGUGGCGCGAUGAAUGCCUUUAGGUCUUCUUCCCAGCUGCUGGCAAACAUUCUUUCCAUUCUACAGACAAGGAAACUGAGGUUCAGAAAAGCUCAGAAAAGGGCAGAGGAGAGGACCAGGGCCUGGCGUAGCUGCUCUACUGACAGGAGCAAAGCAAGCAGAGCCAAUGGGAAACAACAAGUGUGUCCGCGGGCACUGCAGCGUAGUUGUGCAUGCGGCGGAAGGACAAGGAUGCAGCUGAGCAGACUGUCUGCAAAGACCUCUAUUCAGGUGAUGCCGAAUGAAAUCACAUGCUGACCACGACUGUGCAACUAGACAGGGGAGAGAAAGGGGGAGAAGAGGAGGAGAGGGGAGGAGUGGCAGAAAGAGGGACCCAGGAGGGAAACGGGGAACAGGGAAGAGACAGGGAAAGGGAAGCAAUCUGGAAGCCAAGAGCCAGAGAGGGUCGGUCCUCCGGCUGCCUGCAAGGUGGUGCCAAAGCUCUGGGCUUUCUUCGGUACUUUCUUUGCUUCUGUGUGGAUGGGGGUGAAGGUGUCAGCUUUCCCCUGUCUGUCUGCUUUUGGCCACAG